rnacentral:rRNA from 1 species
GCCUAAAGCGUCCGUAGCCUGUUCUAUAAGUUUCCGGUUAAAUCCAUUAGCUCAACUAAUGGGCUGCCGAAAAUACUGUAGAACUAGGGAGUGGGAGAGGUAGACGGUAUUCGGUAGGAAGGGGUAAAAUCCUUUGAUCUAUUGAUGACCCCCUGUGGCGAAGGCGGUCUACCAGAACACGUUCGACGGUGAGGGAUGAAAGCUGGGGGAGCAAACCGGAUUAGAUACCCGGGUAGUCCCAGCUGUAAACUAUGCAAACUCAGUGAUGCAUUGGCUUCUGGCCAAUGCAGUGUUGCAGGGAAGCCGUUAAGUUUGCCGCCUGGGAAGUACGUACGCAAGUAUGAAACUUAAAGGAAUUGGCGGGGGAGCACCACAAGGGGUGAAGCCUGCGGUUCAAUUGGAGUCAACGCCAGAAAUCUUACCCGGAGAGACAGCAGAAUGAAGGUCAAGCUGAAGACUUUACCAGACAAGCUGAGAGGUGGUGCAUGGCCGUCGCCAGCUCGUGCCGUGAGAUGUCCUGUUAAGUCAGGUAACGAGCGAGAUCCCUGCCUCUAGUUGCCACCAUUACUCUCAGGAGUAGUGGGGCGAAUUAGCGGGACCGCCGCAGUUAAUGUGGAGGAAGGAAGGGGCCACGGCAGGUCAGUAUGCCCCGAA